UAAUUUGUUGUUAUUGAUGUUGGCUUUCGCUCUUAGUAGUACUAACACUACAACAGAAUUAGGUUAUAGGGACACAUGUUUAGAUACUUUUGAGUAAGUGUCCCAUUUAUGCUAAAACUUAAAAACACAUCUACUAAUGCCUAAAUAUAAAGCCCAAUCCAACCAAAAAUAAAAGAUUACUCUACUCAACCCACCACACCCAGUCCAUUUGGCCCGAUUACAAACAGAAAAGAAAAAAAAAAGAAAAAUCAAUUACCAUCUUUUCUUCUCUCUUCACUCAAUCCACUGAAAUUUUAGACGAAGAGCCUUUACUGUCGUCCUCCUCCGCCACCGCACCCAACGAGAUAGAGUUUCAGCGGUUGCUAAAUGCUUAAAUAAGUGUUGGUAAAUUAGCAGCACUCUUUUAGGUUAUAGUGACACUCUUUAACUGUCACUAUAUACCUAGCGACCCCACAUAUAGCAACACUUUUUAAAAGUGUCGGUAAUUUUAGCUAGCAGCACUUUUUUGAAAUGUACCUACAUUUAAAAAUGUCGCUAUAAACCGUUUUUGUUGAAGUGUAACUAGUAUUAAUUAAAAUUUAAACGUGGUGCUAAUUAGAAUAUUAUUCAUUUAGUUUUUGACUUGAAAAAAAU
rnacentral:lncRNA from 1 species